rnacentral:rRNA from 1 species
GAUGAACGCUGGCGGCGUGCCUAAUACAUGCAAGUCGAGCGAACAGACGAGGAGCUUGCUCCUCUGACGUUAGCGGCGGACGGGUGAGUAACACGUGGAUAACCUACCUAUAAGACUGGGAUAACUUCGGGAGACCGGAGCUAAUACCGGAUAAUAUAUUGAACCGCAUGGUUCAAUAGUGAAAGACGGUUUUGCUGUCACUUAUAGAUGAAUCCGCGCCGCAUUAGUUAGUUGGUAAGGUAACGGCUUACCAAGGCAACGAUGCGUAGCCGACCUGAGAGGGUGAUCGGCCACACUGGAACUGAGACACGGUCCAGACUCCUACGGGAGGCAGCAGUAGGGAAUCUUCCGCAAUGGGCGAAAGCCUGACGGAGCAACGCCGCGUGAGUGAUGAAGGUCUUCGGAUCGUAAAACUCUGUUAUUAGGGAAGAACAAAUGUGUAAGUAACUAUGCACGUCUUGACGGUACCUAAUCAGAAAGCCACGGCUAACUACGUG